AGCAAUCUGCCUUGGAGUGGGAAUAACGGCCGGAAACAGCCGCUAAUACCGCAUGACGCGUCUGGGAGGCAUCUCUCUGGACGCCAAAGAUUUAUCGCUCUGAGAUGAGCUCGCGUCUGAUUAGCUAGUUGGCGGGGUAACGGCCCACCAAGGCGACGAUCAGUAGCCGGACUGAGAGGUUGGCCGGCCACAUUGGGACUGAGACACGGCCCAGACUCCUACGGAAGGCAGCAG
rnacentral:rRNA from 1 species